AGUGAACGCUGGCGGCAGGCCUAACACAUGCAAGUCGAACGGCAGCACAGAGGAGCUUGCUCCUUGGGUGGCGAGUGGCGGACGGGUGAGGAAUACAUGGGAAUCUGCCCAAUCGUGGGGGAUAACGUAGGGAAACUUACGCUAAUACCGCAUACGACCUACGGGUGAAAGCGGCGGACCGCAAGGCGUCGCGCGAUUGGAUGAGCCCAUGUCGGAUUAGCUAGUUGGCGGGGUAAAGGCCCACCAAGGCGACGAUCCGUAGCUGGUCUGAGAGGAUGAGCAGCCACACUGGAACUGAGACACGGUCCAGACUCCUACGGGAGGCAGCAGUGGGGAAUAUUGGACAAUGGGCGCAAGCCUGAUCCAGCCAUGCCGCGUGAGUGAAGAAGGCCCUCGGGUUGUAAAGCUCUUUUGUCCGGAAAGAAAAGCUUUCGGUUAAUACCCGGAAGUCCUGACGGUACCGGAAGAAUAAGCACCGGCUAACUACGUGCCAGCCGCCGCGGUAACAC
rnacentral:rRNA from 1 species